rnacentral:rRNA from 1 species
UACGUAGGGGGCAAGCGUUAUCCGGAUUUACUGGGUGUAAAGGGAGCGUAGACGGUGAAGCAAGUCUGAAGUGAAAGGCGGGGGCUCAACCCCCGGACUGCUCUGGAAACUGUACGGCUGGAGUGCAGGAGAGGUAAGUGGAAUUCCUAGUGUAGCGGUGAAAUGCGUAGAUAUUAGGAGGAACACCAGUGGCGAAGGCGGCCUGCUGGGCUUUUACUGACGCUGAGGCUCGAAAGCGUGGGGAGCAAACAGG